AUUUGCACCUGGAGUGUCGGCAAAGCGAGACUGUUCGUUUUUUCGUAAGAGAUAAAUUAAAUAUUCAUAAAACACACAACUGUAACAAGACCAAUUCCAUAUUUCUGUAUGGUUGGGAUCAGCAUGGCCGUGGGUCGGCUGUCUGCCGCCUCUGUGAUGCGCACUCCCGAAGCGGAGCUGAUGCAGGACGUGCUGAGCGGUACCUGCGGCGGCGGCGGGGUCGUGCCUUUGCCGGCCACGGUCACUAAACUGAAGCGGGGACCGGCCGGGGUGUACCGCUCGACAGAGGACUGGCGGGACAUUGUGAAAAGAAGACACCUUGCAAACGCCAAGGAAAGACAGCGUAUUCGUAAUCUCAACAGCGGCUUUUCCACUCUGAAAACCAUCGUUCCGCUCAUCCCCCGGGACCGCAAGCCCAGUAAGGUGGACACGCUGAAGGCAGCUACUGAGUAUAUCCGCCUGCUGCACUGCGUCCUGGACCAGACCGGCGGGGCGGAGCCCCGGGUUUCUGUGCAGCCGCUGGAGAGCAGGGUGCUGACAGAGGGAGGGGACGCUCUGACCCGCACUGUCCCGGGGGCCAGCCUGCCGCCCCCGCAGGCUGGCAGCGUGUUCAUCCGGGCGCCAGGGCCCCUCGCCGAGCUGGAGGGCCACACCUUGCUGCUGAGAAGAUGCUCCCUGCCGACCUACAUCAUCCAGCUUCAGCCGGACCGCAGCCUGAUAUUCCAGCCUAAUAAAUGAAGGGAGUCGCUUUGCUCCAAUACUAGCUAGUGUGAAUCGCAGCCUCGAAGAUAUGACCUCAACCUAGUGGGGGGGUGCCCCGGGUGAUUGUCCUGGCUGCUGGCCCCUGAACCCAGCUCUGCAGCCCAUAAACGAGCCACGUUGAGUUUCUGUUCACCUGCAUGGAUCCUGUGUGCAAACUCGUUACCGUUCACAUGUUUGCAGAGACUCUGGAGUUGAAGAAUGGAUCCUACUGCGUGUUGUUUUUUUUUUUUUGGGGG